AUUGAACGCUGGCGGCAUGCCUUACACAUGCAAGUCGAACGGCAGCGCGGGACCAAUCCUGGCUGCGCGUGGCGCACGGGUGAGUAAUACACCGGAACGUGCCCACUCGUGGGGGAUAACGCAGCGAAAGCACUGCUGAUAACGCAUACGAUCUACGGCUGAAAGCAGGGGGUCGUAAGACAUUGCGCGAGUGGAGGGGCCGAUGGCAGAUGAGGUAGCUGGUGAGGUAAAGGCUGACGAAGCCAUGGAUCUGUAGCUGGACUGAGAGGACGACCAGCCACACGAGGAGUGAGACACGGCCCAGAGUCCUGCGGGAGGCAGCAGUGGGGAAUGUGGGACAAUGGGGGAAAGCAUGGUCCAGCCAGGCCGCGUGCAGGAUGAAGGCCUUCGGGUUGUAAUCUGCUUUUGUGCGGAACGAAACGGUCUUUUCUAAUAAAGAAGGCUAAUGACGGUACCGGAAGAAUAAGCACCGGCUAACUACGUG
rnacentral:rRNA from 1 species